rnacentral:misc_RNA from 1 species
GAAAUGCGAUAAGUAAUGUGAAUUGCAGAAUUCAGUGAAUCAUCGAAUCUUUGAACGCACAUUGCGCCCGCCAGUAUUCUGGCGGGCAUGCCUGUUCGAGCGUCAUUUCAACCAUCAAGCCCCCGGCUUGUGUUGGGGACCUGCGGCUGCCCGCAGGCCCUGAAAAACAGUGGCAGGCUCGCUGUCACACCGAGCGUAGUAGCAUACAUUCUCGCUCAGGGCGUGCUGCGGGUUCCGGCCGUUAAACGACCUUCAUAACCCAAGGUUGACCUCGGAUCAGGUAGGAAGACCCGCUGAACUUAAGC